ensembl:lncRNA basic leucine zipper transcriptional factor ATF-like 2
GCUCAUUCAGUUGGUUUGACCUGUUGACACAGGGUUUGAAUGAAACAUCACACGCCGCCGGUUCCUCUCCAUCAGGUCCCUUCAGCUCCUCACGGGCCCAUCACACGACCCACUGCCAGGCGUUUCCACACAUUGUGUAAUAUUGGACGUUCACUGACCGGUGCCUGUGCGUUUGCAGGAGCGAGAGGGGGACGGGCAACAGGUGGGACCCACCGGCAAGAAGAGGCGCGAGAAGAACAGGGACGCGGCGAGGAAGAGUCGCAAGAAGCAAACGGAGCGAGCGGACGUGCUUCACGAGGAGCUCCAGCGCCUCGAGCGCUCCAACACGUCGCUCCACAAGGAAAUCGCGGCGCUGAAGAAAGACCUCGUCCUCUACACGACGGCCCUGGAGCGUCACAAGCCCCACUGCUGCCUCCGAGCGCCCGCGUCCAAGUCCGGCCCGCCCGGCGCCCGCCCGCCUCCCCCCUCCGCCGGCCGCCGCAGACCCGGUCCGGCCGCCGUUCCUCCUCUCAGAGCCAAUUCUUCGUUCUCUACCUCCUCGACCUUUGGCACAGGUCUUCAGACUCUCGACGGGCUUGAAAACGCCCGCCUUCCUCCCACGACGUCCGCUCCGAGCGGAACCGCGUCCUGCUUGACCUCUGACCUCUUCGCGGCCCCGCCCUCCGACCCGGCGGCCGUUUCCUGCCCGCUCCCGCUGCUCCCGGCGCCUCACUCCUUGUUCGCCGACGCGUCCCGGCCGACAGGCGUUGCGCCCGUGAGCACGAGCCCCGUUUCGCUCCCGGCAGCCGAGCAAGACGCCACUCAUGGAACCCCUUCGUUGUCAGCGGAUUCGGGUUUCUCUGAUACACUAGAUGCAUUUCUAACCAAACAAACCUCUUUUGUACCUGCUCCAUGUAACGUGGGACCUCCCUACUCCCAUGUGGCCCUGCACCAUCGCGGUCUGGCUCGUGGCUGUGAUCCAACUCCCUACAACAUUCCAAAUACUUCAAAUCCUCUGGGUUCUUUUUUACCCUCGACUCUGCAAGAGUCUACUGUUCAGCCUAUGUCAGCUUCACCUCAGAUGAACUUUCCUCCACUACCCCCAAAUCCCAGUUAUUGUCAACAGGCGACACCAAAUGCGGCAUCUUUUCUUUCCCUCCUCACUGUCCCAAACCCUCCCAGCGCCCCCCAGACUCCCUCCAACAGCUUUGCUCAGUCUCCACCCGCGCUGCCGCUGUUGCUGGAUUCCUCGAGGGAUCUCUCCCUCACUGAGCUCCUGGAGGUCAACGACUGGAUCCUAAGUGGGCCCAGUAAUGUAUAGCACUACAUGCCGCAUGGCAGGGGAGGAUCAGUAUCGUGAUGUGAAAAUUCAAACCGCACGUGUUGAGCUGUGGGACUGAAGUGGCACCAAAUUGCAGCAAGGUCGUAAUCGGAUCUGAUCAGACACAGGGCUCAAAGCAGGCUUUGACGUGAGGAAAUGGAAAACUGGUGACGGUGGAUUAAUUCGUUUCCACAUAAAUGAAAGCUAAAGGCAGACGUUGUCUUUCUCAGAAAGAUUGACUCAAUUUCUGAGACUUACCCUUCACUUACUCUUUAAGACCCAACCUGCUUAGAUGCAGCUUGUUACAGUUCGUCUUCACUUACCUCAUUUACACACUCCUUACACAGUUUGACAAGUUUUUAUUAUGCUGCUAUUGAUAAUUUAUUUAUGCGUCGCAAUAUUUAAAUAGAAGAACAACUAUCAGUCAGUCAGUUCGCUUUUUUUUAGGAAGUCGCACAAUUUAUCUGUCUUACCUACAAGUGUCAAACGAAUGGAGGCUCAAUAGCCCCCGGCUCAUUCAGACCCUCAGUGAUUAUGUGAUUACAUGACAACUCCAGGUGAAAACACGCUUAAUGCACGACCCCAUCCAGGAUUAUAUGACCUAAUGUGGAUUCGUUUGCAGUGAUGUUGUCAAACCGGAGCUUCUGUAACGCACUGUGCAAACUAAGUUGUUUUCCACGUAGCCCACAGACGGGCACGGAUCUCUGAGGGAGCCGCGGUAACCAGGAUGAGGACGGGAGGUUGUCAGGGGCAGCUUCAUUAGGAACAGCGAUGAUAUCAGGGUUAUCGUCGAUGAAUCAUGUGUCAAAUGGCCCCCGGACACCCCACACGCCUAGAAGUCUAAACCACCAAAAAGGCUCUUUGUUCUUUGCUAAUUCAUGUAUUUUAAGUGAGUCAAAACCCACAAUGAAAAUGUGUCCGUGUGACACAUUCUUUCUGGCAAUAAGAAACUUCCAAAGCCUGUAAUAAUAGGAUCUAGUGCUGUUAGGAUGUUAUUUUUUGGGCUAGGAAUGAAACCAGGCCUUAUGGUAACUGUUUUGCAGUGACGACCAUGAUUUUCAGAUAAUGAUUAUUCAGUUUAGGGCACCAUUACUAGGAAAUAAGGGGAUAUUUGAACUAAUGUGAGGAUUGUGGUGGGUGUCUUUAAAUUAUGAUCAUUUGAUACUUUCAUGCAUUCAUUAUAUAUUUAUGCUUUAAUACUAAUAACUGUAAUAAAAAUGUUUGUUUACAAAAUCA